rnacentral:rRNA from 1 species
UUCCGCAAGGAAUGAGUAGAGUGGCAAACGGGUGAGUAACACGUGGGUGACCUGCCUUCGAGUGGGGGAUAACGUCCCGAAAGGGACGCUAAUACCGCAUAAUAUUUUGCCUUUGAAGAGGUGGCAAUCAAAGCUGGGGAUCGCAAGACCUAGCGCUGGAAGAGGGGCCCGCGUCUGAUUAGCUAGUUGGUGAGGUAAUGGCUCACCAAGGCAACGAUCAGUAUCCGGCCUGAGAGGGCGGACGGACACACUGGGACUGAGACACGGCCCAGACUCCUACGGGAGGCAGCAGUGGGGAAUUGUUCGCAAUGGGCGCAAGCCUGACGACGCAACGCCGCGUGGAGGAUGAAGACCUUCGGG